rnacentral:rRNA from 1 species
CACGGGGGUUGCGAGCGUUGUCCGGAAUUACUAGGUGUAAAGGGCAGGCAGGCGGAUCCAUAAGUUUAUCGUUUAAGGCGUCGGCUUAACCGGCGUAGGGCGGUAGAUACUGUGGAUCUGGAAUGCGGUUGGGGAAGACAGAAUUCCUGGUGUAGCGGUGGAAUGCGCAGAGAUCAGGAGGAAUACCGAAGGCGAAGGCAGUCUUCCAAGCCGUUAUUGACGCUCAACUGCGAAGGUGUGGGUAUCAAACAGGAUUAGAUACCCCCGUAGUCCCUGAG